rnacentral:lncRNA from 1 species
UUAUAACAACUAGGUAGCUUUUGUUUUGAAACCCUUUCACUACUAAAUUGAUCCUUGUCUUUCCUCAUGUGCCGUCAUGUGAGACCAUUGAACUUAGUGCCGACCUCCAUUCAAUGCUUACUGGUACGGAACAACAUGUCCCCACACCCGCAUACGUAGAUUGAUGAAGUUGACACACAUCUGUAAUACCCCUACUGCCCUACAUAUUAGUGCUUAUUACAUGAUCAGUUACAGUAUAUGUGAGCAAAGUGUAUUGUAGCAAGUACUAAUAUAUGUGAAUGGAAACAUCACGAGACGGAUGCUUUUGUAUGAGAAUUGCAUUAGUAUCGAAUUUAAUGACUAAUAAGAUCCUAGGUCUAAGUAAAAAAAAAAAGUUCAAGAACUAACUUGCCAAUGCUAGAGUUGUGGCCACCUCAUGCAUCUUUUGACAUCUGCCACCUCAUGCAUCUUUUGACAUCUGCCACCUCAUGCAUCUUUUGACAUCUGCCAGCUCAUGCUCAUCAAAAAUGCUAAGUAUUAAACAACCACCUCAUGCUUGUGCCACCUCUAGUAUAUUUAUUAAUUGCCACUUCAUGCUAAUUUUCAUUAAGCUACCACCUCAUGCUUAUUACUGGUAAAGCAGUGCCUCAUACCAGAAAUUCAGCCACCUAGCUUCUCCUAUACUGGAAACCUAGUUGCUAAUAUCCCAUGGUGAGACACCAAAGGCUUACAAGCCAUCUAUAAAUAGGAGGUUGCAGCACUCUUCCGCCAUUUUUGCAAACCCUACAAGUUCAACCACCUAUAAAGUAGACAACUAUUGAAGGAAAGGAGAGAAAGUAAAGAAGAAGUGAAUACCAAGCAAUCCUCUAAGACGAAAGAAGGUGGUGCAUGAAGUUUUAGAACAGGAAUCAGUAAGUGUCCUGAAAUAGCUGAUGUUCCACUUUACAAGUUAUUUACUUAUGUCCACAGAUUUAGAACCAAGAUCGACAGAACCGUCCCAAACUGGAUGAUUCUUGCUGAUCCGAGCCAUACCGGUGGCUCACCGGUACAGUUCCAGCAACAAAAAUGAGACCCAUUGUUGGAGCCGGAGGAAAAGGAAAGAGAGAGCGAGCGGGGUAGGGAGAGCCGGAGAAGGUGGCGGACGCCAGCGAAGAGUCGGUGGAGGCCGACGGAAGCCGCAAGCGGUCGACGGAGGCUGCGCCAGGGGAAGUCGCGGCCGGUUCUCCUGUUUUAAACAAAACAAAAGUUCGACCACGACUAAAAAAUUUUGCAAUUUUUAAGUGAAGUCGGCAAAGCGCUUGCCGACUUCAUUUAAAAAUCGUAAAAUUAUAAAAUUCCACGAUUUUUAAGUGAAGUCGACAAUAGAUUUGCCGACUUCACUUAAAAAUGCAAAUUUUUUUAGCCGCGGCCGGAGAACAAAACAGAACCAGCCGCUGCCUCGCCUGCUGCAGCCUUCGUCGGCCCUUCGCCAGCGUCCGCCGCCCUCCUCCGGCCCUUCUUCCCUCGCUCGCGCUCUUUCUCUCUUUUCUCUUUCCCAAACUCCUACGGUGUCGUGCCCUCUCUCGGUAUAGGCACGACAUGGCCCAUACCGAGUCGUCCCGCCAGAGAACCGGUAUGGUACCCAAUACCGGUUCCUCUUACCUUAUUUAGAACUCUUAUUCCUUCCAUCUCUUGUUCAACAUUGGCUUCACGAUCUCACUCCUAUUGGAGAUUGAAUCAUCAUAAAGACAUUGAAUUCAGCAAUUGUUUUGUUAUAAGAAAACUCAAAAUUCAAUUUUUAUUAUAAAUGAUCAUAACUUGUAUGAUUUUCUAAAAUCUCUUGUAAACAUAUACAUAAAUUAACUUCAGAAGCUUCAUCCUUGUGUUUUGAAUGAUUUAGCAACAUUUGCAUUUACGACUCCAGCUAAGUUGCCUUAUUCGAAACUUAUAUGGUGCAAGUAUAUUGUUGAACUAUAUGUUAUUAUUAGAACUUAGAAGUGCUUUAACAAUUAUGUAAUAAUGAAAAAUCUCAUAUUCUAAUCAUUGAAAUAAAAAUUAUGGUCAAACAGUGUACCCUUAACCAGUGGAUGUAAUUGUUGGUUUCAACAAGGAUUUUACAUCCCAAUGUGAUGAUGAGACAUCCCACCAUCCCAAGUGUCAGGACAGGACGAGACAAGGACCAAGAAAGAAUAGAUAGGACAUCCGGCGUCCUGAAUAACAUGUCACAUACAAUUCCACAAAAAAGUGGGAUGGCCUCAUCCCCAUACGGUUGGAAUCUUUUAGUUCAAUGAAUCCCUUACCGAUGGGUAUACUAGUAGGGUUCAAUGAAACCCCUAACCACCAGGUAUCGUAGUUGAUCAUUAGUGAACUCCAUUUAGCAAGUAUAAUAAUUGGCAUCGACCAACGGGUACAAGAGUUGGUCUAAGUGAACCCUUAGCUAAUGAAUCAAUGAGUCCAUGACCAACAAGCAUAUAUAGUUGGUCACUAACCAGUUGAUAUUGAAAUAAUAGUAAUAAGUGUUCUAAAGCUUCCAGUGUAUCCAAGUAAUUUUCAAGUAUAUCUCAUUGUAUGUUUUGAGAUAGAGGGAAGCUAAUCUCAACCUUUUCUACCCUGUACCCACCCCACCCUCGAGGGUUGACUACUAAUGGAAUCGAACCCCUACUCCCUUGCCUAAGUAAGGGGUCAUACCAUCCAAGCAAGCACUGAAGGUUGUGUACUCUACCAUAUUCAAGUAUUUCUAGGUGUAUUUUAGUCAAACAAGUGUUUCAUGUUUUCAGCAAUUUUGCACCAAAAGGCAUGUAUCUUGAUGAUACUAUUUGUUUCAAAAUCAUUCAAUAUUUCAAAACAAAGUUAUAUUGGUAAAUGAUUUAUUGAUAUCUCUUACAGAAUAUUAUUAUUAACUAUUUGAGUUUUAAGAAGUAUCGAUCCUUAUUGCUUUCCAAGUUCUAUUGUCCUGAUACUACAUUGUUAGCUAUGUUGAGUAAUGUAGCUCACGCACCUAUUUAGUGUAUUUCAGAGCGAAUAACUUGUUAACUUACCUGACUAGAAGUUUGAAGUAUUUUGGUUCUGCAUAACAGAGCCUACAUUAGAAAAGAUCUUAGUGUCAAAUUCAGGGUGUAUUGCAAGAUAAGGUGUUUUAGAAUUGCCCAUAAUGAACUAGUUUGUGUAUUGUAAUGUACCUAUCAUGAAGGAUGUAAAAAGCAUUACUUUGUGUAUUACUAGACACUGGAUGAAAUUUUAGUUUGCUUCAUUCAAUAAAAUAACCGCCUAUAUCAUAAUCAAAUGACAACAUUUGAUUGGAGAAUAGUAUGCUUCUAUGAUGAUUAAUUAAAGUGAUUUUGAGCCAUUUUCGACUGUAAUUGCAAUCACUCUUGGGACUUGGCAGCGCUGGGUUCUAGUUUAUGGCAGCGGUUUUAUCAUGUGUCAAUACAAGGUACAACAAGCCCCAUGCCAUGCCAGUAUUACACUGGAUCAGUAUUGUACAUCCCAUAGCACUUGGUAUGAUUUAGUAAUAAAACAUUAUAUUUAUAGAAAACAAAAUGACUUUGCAUCCUUAGUUAACUUGACAAUUUCUGAUCACCAAUAUGCAGAAGGACUUAUACAUCUCUUAGAAACAUUUAUUACAUGCUUACCUUCAAUUGGCUUAAAAACCCCACCAAUCAUUUUACCAUUCCUUUUGUUGUUGGGGCCUAAAUAAAACCUAUUCAGGUGGGUUCUACUCUUCAUUUUUUUCUUUCCUUUUCAAUGGUCCCAAUAGGUUCCAUUGAAGAUUACAAGUCUUUCAAGCUUCCUUAAUGGUUUGGAGGACAAAAUAUGUUCCCCCUUGAAUGUAUAUUUUAAAUAAUUCAGAUAAUGUUUUCCUCAAAAUAUUGUUUUCAUAAUUGGUUUCUUUCGAUCAUCUAGAAUUCCACUUACUACAAAUAUUUUGGUUCUCCACUCCAUACCAAUGAUUCGUACCUUCAUGUAAUCUUGUAACAUCCUAGGCCCACCAUCCCAUGACAAAAAUUCUCUUCUCAAGUCACCAAAUGGUACUUUGUAAGUAGAUAGUACGGUACGGGGUGUAUCGUACUAUACCAGUUCAGUACCAAUACCAGUACAUGUGACGUACCGAACUCCGUACCAUAUCGUACCGACACUAUUAUAGGGUUCAGUACCAAGACAGUAAACCUCGUUCUAAAUCCACACCCUUAACAAAGUCCUAGAUAACAAAUACCAUUGUUGUUAUCUCUAUCUUUAUCUCGUGAUCCUCCGCUUAGACUUUAUCAUCUUGAGCUUUAUGCAAGAAAUUUUAUUUUAUUUUUUCCUUUCAUUUCCCUAAUACAACAUAACUUUGAGCCUACAUCAUUGUCUAAGCAUAUCUUCAAGUAUGCUGUCUUUCAACUUUGUAUUAAGAAAGACAAAAGAACACAAGAUAAAUAACAAUUUAUUCUUGACUAGUAUCUUGCACCUGUACUGCUGCAUGUGCUUAUUUGUAAGGAAAACAUUAGCUGGAUAUGAGUCCCAUUGUCAGUAAACAAAAAAUUACAUAAUGGGUCAAACCUCAAAAUCCAUCACAAUGCUGGGCUCUCAGCCUCUCUUUGCACAUGCUUUAGCACACAUGAGAGAAGCAGACAGCUAGACUCAACCCUUUUGCAUUAUACAUUAGAAAAUGUAUGAGUUCAAUUAACUUAUUAUUACACAACUUGUCCUAUACACUUACAGAAAGAUAUCUUCCCAGUACUAAAAAAGAGGGGAAAGUGAGAUGUUAUGUUCGUUGUGCAAUCACCCCCAAUAAUCAAUGAAAGAAACACUUUCAGCAAAAUCUUACCACAUCGUAGAUUCCUUAUUAUUUUUGAGCCUCAUAGACUGAUUUGAUCACUCAAGCAGAAAAAUUUUUGACCAUACAACGGAAUUAUUAAUGUACUAGAAACCAAUACAUAUUAGAACAAAGUUAAAAGGCUCUGUUAAGGCUUCGUUGUUUGACAGUCAAAAAGAAAAGGCAAGAUAUUUGGAACUUGUCAUACCUGAUGCAAUGACAUACUCUCCAUCAGGAGUCACCUUAAUUUUGGUAGUCGCAGUCUCGAACCUCAAAUCCUGGAUUAUGUCCACCCUUUGAAGGUAAUCUAGUUAAUGACAAAAGAAGCAAAUUAUUUAAUCAGUUACAACUCAUGCACUAGGUCAAAUUACAUCAGUCAUUGCCAAAAAUCUCACAACAAAAGACAUUAGGUAACCUAUCAACAAGAAAUUAAGCUCCAAAAAAAGGAAGUGCCAAUCUGAUAUCAAGAACAAAAGACCGAAUCCAACAAAUAGAAGUGAAAAAAAGAAGGAGUACCUUUAUCUUUACGAAGGGCUCUGAGCUUCUUGGGUGGGAGCCAUGUGGGCAGAGAACGCUGGCCCGAGACCGAGUAAAGCUUGACGCCAUUAAUGGAGGUGGACUUGAUGCUACCUCCUCGGGUCGCCAUUAACGAGAACCCUAGAUUUACGAGCUCUCUCUACUCUGCCGCAGGCGCGAGCUUCAGGGUUUGGGAGAAGCGCGGCCGCGAUGGAGCAAGAGAGGGUUUUGGAGAGGCCGGUAGCGGCGGACAGGAUAGGGUUUACAAGGGAUCGGAAGGCAAAUGACUUCGCUCCGUCCCUUUUAGGCCCUUUUCUGGUACAGAUACGGACCGGACCGGACCGGACCGGCAUCAAAGUGGCUAAAGACCCCUAUUCACCUACUCGAUCUACGGUUCAACCGGUCGAACGUUGGCGUACGAAUAAAAAUUGGAAGGCAACCCACGAACCUGUUCCAUCUUUCCUAUUAUUAUAUAUUUUCUUUUCAUAUACACUCUUGUAAAUAUUUGAAAUUAUAUAUCUUUAUAAAUUUAUUAUUUAACUAUAUAUAUUCUUGUAAAUAAUUUGAUCGCAUGUCUAUUCUUAAUCUCACAUGCCGCUCAACUGUUUCAGUUUGACUGGCAUUUAAUUAAAGAUUUUCCUUAUAAAUACCACAACUUAUGCAUAUACCCUUGCAAAUUUUGCUAUUUAUAUAUAUCUUUAUAAAUUAUUUCUUUCCGCAUGCCUAUCUUUAUUAAGUUAAGAAUAUUUCAAUCAUUUCAGCUGUAAAUAACUUGUUUUUUCAUGGUGUCAAAUAGUAUAUUAACUAUAAAUUAGACAUUAAAAAAAUAAUUUAUAAGUGUAUAUAUGAAAAUAGCUAAUUUGCAAUGCAACUUUAGAUAUUUAUAAGAAUAUGCAAGUAAAAAGGACAUAUUAAUAAAUAAUAAUAAAAAAUAUGGAAGACUUAUUUGAAUAAUCUUUCAUUGAAACUACUUAUUUCUCAAACCAACCACUCUUUAGCUUGCUCUACAUACUAUUUUGUAGCAUUAUAAUUUAUAAAUACCUCUUAGUUUUGGUACAGAUCAUCGUAUUCAAGAUAAUUAAAACCUAGAAUUUGCAAAUGAAAAAAAAAAGUCAUAAUUAUUGAUUUAUAUUUAAUUAGGAAUUGUUAAAUAUGUAAAACAUUGCAAAUUAACAAUUGUAAUUGUUAUAGUAACUACACCAUUAUAAGGUAGUUACAUGCAAAGGUGAAAAAUGUUAUAUAGGAAUAGGAAUGAAUAAUUAAAAUUGAAUAUGUAGGCUCAUUUAUAGGAGUGGGCUUCCAAGACCAAUAAAAAUCCUAAUUCCAAAUGAAUACAAUUUUCUGGAACAAAAAUAAAAAGUUAAUAAAGAAAAAUCUUUUCUACAUCUUGUAGGACUUGUAAAGUAAAUGAAGCAUGUUUGAAUAUUCCCACAUGAACAUCCAGUCUCUUGGCCCGACUAACCUAUAUUUUCUAAAUGCUUGUUUUCUAAGUCCCCAUCUAAAUCCUAGCCGGUGGUCCAGUUGGUCUAUAGAACUCGGGUUGAGAGGUAAUAAUUUGAUAUGAGCCAUGGUUAAAUUGGCAACCCAAUUUACGAAUCUUGCAGAAAAUUCAACCUAAUCCUACUGGAUUACCCAAUCAGUAUUUUUGCCAAAUAGUAAGGUGCCUAGUUCGGGCUACAUUGAUUAUGCAAAAUUUUAGUUCUAGUCCAAUGUCACUCAUAUUGUUCUCACUAGCACCAAGUUGUGAUAUGCUGCAGUUUCUUGAUAGAUAAAAAAAAAAAGAAAUAUUCAGUUGAUAAGUUACACACACACUCAUUUCUCUGUUGUGUUAUCCAUCAUGCAUCAUUCAUCAUUUCUCCGUAGUUUAUCAACCAGGUAGAAAAGGAAAAAAAAACACAUAAAAGUCGAAGGAGAAGCAUGUUCAAGAUUUUUCAUUUAUGCACGGUAGAUUACCUUAUACAUUUCUUUUUUUCUGAAGGUGUAUCAGGUUGGUUCCCGCACCUAAAAAAAAUUAUGAAUUCCAAAUAAUUAAUUGUUACUAUGUGAUAGGAAAAGGAUCGAUAAUGAAGAUAUAUUAUUCAUCAGUAGAAAAUAUUUUUUACAGACAUUUCAUCUCGAAAAAGUUCAGUACGAAUGCAUUUUUCAGGGGUUGAAAGAAUAAAUUCUUCCAAAGCUCGAGAGGAAGAGGAUCUUGCAUCAAAACUUUAUAUGGAUUAACCAAUUACAAUUCACCUUCCUAGAAGAUUUUUAUCCCCUUGAACUUAACUGCAUCAGCAUUAAAGUUUUGCAAACCAAAUGUAAUCUGAAAAAUAUAAGUGGCAUUGGUACACCUAUUAAUUAUUGAGCCAGUUUGCCAAAAAAACAUGAAAUUCGCAAUAUCGGUUCUAUCCUCAAUAGUUUCAUUAAGUUUGUACCUUUGAAAAGGUUAACAAAAAAUAUGUUUUAAUAUCGAGCUUUAAAAUUUUUUUUGCAUUUAAGAAUAAUAAUAAUAAAGCAAGAACAAAAUAAUUUUGCCAUGGUAUGAGAGGUCGUUCAUUUUUAUCACACUAAUUAUACCAAAAACUAUCUACAUAAAUAUUUACAGUAGCUCUACAAUUAUAGCAUGCUUUAUACCACCAAACCUAAGAGGAGCCGAUUGUCUUUAAAACAACUUUGCAUAUAAAUUUCACCCCCUAAAUAAAGUAAAAUAUUAUUUUCACCAUCAUUGUAUCAAAACAUAAUAGCCAGGUAAUACCUAAAAAUUAAUUUUCCACAUCAACUUAUGGCCAUUAUUUCUUAGCUUUAUAUUUUCAGCAUAUGCAGUACACUUUUUUUCCUUCAUAUCGUACAUAAAAUUUGUUUAGAUCCAAUUCCAAAAAAUAUUUUAUUAUUUUUCUCUUAGUCACCAUUUCUUACUGCGGUUCAAGAGACACUUGUGCUUCAUGUGUCAUGUAUAUAAUCGGAGCAAAUUGGUGUUUCGAGUCUAUACAUCGAUACAUGCACGUAUUUAAGCAAUAAUUUAUAAGUUUGAUAUGUGUUCAAUAGAAUAGUUAAAAGUACUAUAUGGCAACCUGUUUUGAUACUCGGUAAUUUUCUUGAACUAUAAAUUUAUAUAAUAUUUUGAUGUGGAGGAGGUGGAUGGAUAGAUUUUUUCUGAAUAAAAAAAAACAAUGAAAAUUUUAUUGUUAAGAGUUAAAAAAUUUAGCAUAAGAUUUUUCUUUCCUCCAUUUGCACCCCCAAGCGGCUCCCACAUGUGAUAGGGAUGUGUCUCGUCUGUCUUGAUUCGAGACUUGAGAGGGUAGAGAAACAAAAAAAAAAAAAUAGUCCACACUGUUCCACAUGCCCUACUUUUGCUAUCAUCCAUCUAGAAUUGUAUUUUUUUAUAGUCCACCUGUGUCCUUCUGUUCCUUAUUUUUUUUCUCUCCUCUUUAUGACCCCCUCUUCGAUGCUAUGCGAGAAGCAAAAGGCCGCUACCUCUGGCAACAACCCUCACGCAUAUACAAAGCCAAAAGGUGGAAAAAGGAAAAAUACAAAAAAAAGAAAAGAAAAGAAAAGCCAAUACCUAACUUGAGGGAGGGGGUGCAGUAGAGUUCAAGCCCGAGGUAAAUAUAUAGCCCAAAAAGCUGCUCUAUAUGGCAUGUUUCCGCACACAACAAUUGUGCUGAAGCAAUGAGAGGAUGACUUACAUCCAUUCUCUAUAGAGAAGAGUUUUUGACUUUUCCCUUACUUGAACAUAGUAAUUGAAUGAAAAGGAAGAGUAGGGACCUACAAAGCAAGCUCUGACCCUCCAUCCUUUUCACCGAUGAUGAACUGCCAUGUGUCCCAUAAAUGAUACAUCCUAUCAAUUAAAAAAUAUAGAAAGAGAAAGGAGAUGGAGGCAUGCUUUCGCCCUCUCCUCCUACAUGCCUACUGCUAAUUUAGGUGCUACGCAUCCGAUGCCAUGAUUUUCUAUAUAUAUACAUAUUUUGCUUCGGUCAAUCCUUCGAUAUCCUCUCAAGCUUGAUCGAAUAGUUGCUGGAAGAAACUCUCAUAGAAGGAGAAAGACAACCAUGCACCUAACUCCUUGCACACUUGGGUAUGCAUCAGACGCCAGCUUUAUUUUUAUUUUUUCCUCCUACCUGCAAGUCAUGAUAAAUCUUCUCUCACCUGAAUAUAAAAGCUGAACGGAAAGGAGUAGAGGUCUACAGAAUGUUAGUAUGUUCUAUCAAUACAAAUGUACGAAAGGAGAUGGACACCCGUCUCCCCUUAUAUGCGUUCCUACCGAUCUUUGCUUUUGUAGCUGACCUGUGGAGGUUCUCGCAGGAUCGAUUGGAUGGUGGUAUCCGUGAGCUCGAACGAAUGUCAAUUGAAGUAGCCAUGCCCAUGCAGUAAAAAAAUAAUGCGGAUAUGUGUUGCAUGGAGAAUGCCUCUAGAUUGCCCUUUAAUAUACUUUAUAUAUUUUCUAGAUCAAUGAAACCCGUUUCCAAAAUAUCCUCCUUUCUAGACCAGCCAUAUUUCUUACACACUAAUCUCUAAAUGUACUCGUGCUAACAUUCUAAAGUCCCCAUCAAUCAUUGGAAUGAUGAAGAGGAAACAUAUAAGAGGGGACUUCCAUAAUAACAUUAGUGGGAUUUUUUUGUUCGUUGGGAAAAUAUAAAAAUGUGCUUGUAGUGCUCCCAUAUUUGCAAAAUAUUUGCUUAUUAAACAAGAUUCGAUGCAUUCCUUGAACCAUUUUUAUACGGACAACUGUGAUCUUAGGAAGCAAAAAUGAUUUGUUGGAUCUUUGGCAGCAAAAAGAAGAAUCAUUGGAUCCGUUGUUUCUUGCUAUCACCUCAACACUUGCGCAACUGCUUUCUUCUAUCCUUCUAUUUGCGAUCCAUUUCUCUCUCCUCCUAUCAACUUUCACGUGCUCCACCCAGCCCACCAAACACCAUUGAUCCAUAGUACAAGAUAUAACCAAUUUAACACCAAGAAACUAUAUCAAACUAAUCGAAUGGUUCUGGUAGAUGGACGCCACCAGCUAUGCCAAAAACCCUAUUCCCCUAAAGUAUUGAUAGGCUCAAAUGAAGUACCAACCAUGCUCUAUGCCUAUAUGAGUGGAUCACUUUGCAGCAAAUAUCCAACCAUGUUCUAGCAAGUAUAGAUGGGCAAGGUUUGGUAUGUCUCGAUACCAUGGCAUUGUAGACAUAUGUGGAAGUUGAGAAAAAAUAUAGUAAAAAUAUAUAUAUUUUAAAUUAUAAUUAGAGUUUUCAAAAAAAUAAAAAAUAGUAUUUUUAUAGGAAUAAAAUUCUCACCUUUUAUGCAUAAAUAAAUAUUUCGUACAAUUUUUUUUAAAAAAUAGAUACCUAAUUAAAUAUAAACUACUCUAAAAUAUGCCCAUUUUUUUUGAUCAACUAAAUAUAUUUAAUUUUUUUUUCGGACAUUGUAUGUUUAGGAAUCCAUCUUCUAAAAAAUAAUAUUUGAGGAAAUCUUUUCCGAACGAGCCCUUAAGUCCUAUAAAAAUCUUAUCCCACCGCUUUUCUGCUACAAACCUAAAAUAGGACCAAAGGAUUUACUUCUUCUCCACUCUCUAUUCUCCGUUUGCUCUCUCUCGCUCUGUCGCUUUCUAUUAGAAUUGAGGGUGAGAGAAACCCUAGGUGGAGGAGGAUUCGUGGUUGAAUUCAGGGAAUGGCGAGGCCGCCGCAGGACGCAAUCGAGACCUUCAUGAGCAUCACCGGCGCCUCUGAGGCGGUGGCGCUGCAGAAGCUCGAGGUGAGCUCUCUCUCUCUGAUUUCUCCGAUCGCCACCCUCCUCUCUGUUUCUUUCUCUCUUCCAAUCUAGGUUUCGGGUUUGAUGCAUGGGUAGCUGGGAAUUAUGGGUUAGGGUUUCUGUUUGGUAUUACUGAUGGUGAUUUGAAGUCGUGACGUUGGAUCGGGUUUACUUUGUGGUUCUUGAUCUUUGGGAUGAUUUUGUUUUCUUGGAUUUGAUGGCGUGGUUGUAGUACGAUUGGACUGGUGGGUUUGGUUUUUAAAUUGGUAUUAUGUACCAAAGUGACUUGGAAUCUAAUUGUAUGUUCUAGUAUUACUGAAAUGUGAUAUCAUUUUUGAGUAAAUAAAUGAUAAUGGAUUCUUGAUUGUUUCUUGGUGCAAGAUGGAAUUGUGGCAGCGAAACAAAAUUUGAUGGGUAAAGUAGUUUGUGACUGAAAUAUGAUAUCGUCCUUGCAUAUAUAAAUGAUAAUCCUGAACAUUUCUAAAAGAAUUCAGUUGCCCAUUAAUUUUAUGGCAAUGUAUGUUUUCGAGCUAUAGAUAUCUUUGAGGGAGAUAGGUGAUGCUAAAUAUAAAAUCUGGAUAUCUCUGAGGUAUAUUAUAGUCAAUUUUUUGAGACAUGUGUCAUGCGUUAUAUGCGUGAGGUUAUAUGCAACUUAGGUUAAGAAUAGUGGCAUUGUGGUAGCAAAAUCAAGUAUAUUAAUAUUUUAUAUUUUGUUUUAUCAAGUAUGGUAAGUUUGAACUUUGAAGAGAAUUCUCUUGGGCUUGAUUGUAGAAGAUAUAUUCUCUUUUCCUCCUCGUGGUACAAAUAGAUUUUAUUUUUCUUUUGUAAAAGUGAAUUUCUAUAUUCUAAGAGAAGGUGUAUGUGUAAUUGAAUCCUCAUGCUGGCUUUUUAUGUGUGUGUCUAUAUGCACAUGUGUGUGCAUACAUGCCAUUCAAAACCUACACUGGCUUUAUGUGCACGUGCAAGUGUGUGUCUAUUCCAACAGUUUUGAUAUGCCAUGGGCAAAAAAGAACGAACAGACACUAGGUUUAAAUUCCAAGUUCCAAACACCUUAUCUUUCAUAUAACUAGAUCAAGAUAUUUUUGUCUUUUAUAAGCACUCACAAUGUUUUGACAGCUUUCAUGUAUAAGGAGUUAUGAGGGGUCACAGGAAAUGCUUAUGGUAUUUUAAAUGAAAUCUAUAUAACACUAACAAAGAAAGAUAAAAAAAUAGAUAUUGUGAUGGAUAUGUUUCGACCAAGGAAGAAAUAAUGGAUAUGAUUGCCUUAAUUUUGGCUGAAAUAAGUAAAAGUAACUCUCUAUCUGUCAGGGAAAUCUCUGUGUCAUUUUUUGUCUGAUAUAUUUUGAGUGAGUACAAAAAAAGAAGCAUAUUGUUUUGUUAUGUUGUAUGUCAUUUUUCUUAAUUGUUUAAAGCUAAACCUUCUUGUAGAUUCUAUAUUAUCGCACAGGCUAUUUUGUAGUUUCCUGAAAACUUUAAGAACUUUUGCAUCAACAGGAAAGUCUAAAGAGAACAAUUGAGGAACUUACAUGUUGAAAGCUCUCACCAUAGAUGUACUAUGUCAAUAAUCAAUUCCUUGAGUGGUUGUCAUUUGGGUGGAAAGAAAAUGGGAGGUAAGAAGUGUAGGAAAAUGCUGCCUGGGAGACAUGCUUAUUUUGCUGGUUUCUAAGCCAUAGGCAUAGAGAGGUAUUUCAAGAGAAAACUGCCAACAUAUGGAUGAUGGGGGGCCUGCUCAAAUUAUUUGACUGGGAUUUUCUAUCUUUUAUUUUUAAGAAAAUGUCUCCUGAAGUAGAUAUAUGCAUUUGUGCAUGUCCAUCAUUGUAAAAUUGAUCUCAAAGGUUAUGUGGAGAUAUGAUAUUUGAAAAAUGGUUUAGCUGAGGUCGAAGUGGUAGAAAAUAGAAUUCAUUGUGAGUGGCGUGUAUUAACAUGUAAGGAUGGUGCUUUGGAAGCAAGCUUAUGGUAAUUAAUUAGUUUUCCAUAAGAGUGAGGUAGUCAGUUUGUUAGAUGGUUUAAAUUACCUGGAAUACAAAAUAAUUAUUAUAGAUUUCCUCUACUGAGGAUACUAUAUGUUUGUGCAUGUGUGUAAAUGUGUUUGUAUGUAUGCUAGAUUCUCAGUUAUUAGAUAAAGAAAAUACUUAUCUUGAUAAAGAGGGACUCACAACUAAUUGAUCUAAUGGGAGUCUUAUUGGUGAAAGUGCAAACUGAAGGAAUGUGAGGAGAAGCUGAAAGAUUCUUGAGAUGUUGAUAUUCUAGGUCAAAACUUGACUGCUAUCUUCCAUAUACAUACAUAGGAACCUAUAUAUACCAGGCCUUUAGUUAUUAGAAAGAAACUUUGGCUUGAUAAUGAGGCACUAUAACCUUUGAUUUGAUGGAAGUCCUCUUGGUGACAAUGCAAGCUUUGCUUAUUUAAGGUAGAUUCAACUUUUUAUGGACCAUUCUUAUGAUCUUUUUAUAUAUUUGUAUGUUGCCCUCCCAAAAGAUUGCAAGUACGAAGCAAUUCGUUCAUUGAUUUCUCAUCAUGUUCUUUUUGGUGGAGAGGAAUGUGGAGAUGAAAACUAUUUGUAAGUGGAGGGAAGGUCAGCAGAGGGUGUGCCAUACUUAAGAGAUUAAUCAAAUGUUUAUCAAUGACGGUUAAGGUGUGAUUUCAUUAUAUCGUGGUUAAGGUAUGGAAUGUAAACCAAUUUCACAUUAUAUCGUGGUUAAGGUAUGAAAUGUAAAGCCAAUUUCACCUUUGGCUUUCUUGCUUACUUUUACAAAGUUUUGUUGAUUUAUGUGAAACGAAUUUGAGAUUUCAUGGAAGAAAUAAUAGAUGCUUGUGCCAUACAAUCCCUUUAUUUUUUUGAUUGCACCAAGUAUCCCAUCCACAUGACUGUUGGCCCCUGUGUUUAUUUAUGGUGUUAGAUAUUGUUUUAUAAUUUAUGUUAUUUAGAUGAAGCUAUAAGUUGCAUUUCAGUGAAAUUCUGUGCUUAUUCUCUUACCUUAUUCUUUUCAUGUGAAUGGCACUCAGGAACAUGGUGGGGACCUGAAUGAAGCUGUGAAUGCACAUUUCAAUGAAGGAGUUAGGAUAAAGUAAGUCUUUGAAGUGCAUCAUUUGGUUUUUGUUAAGAAAUUGAACCUUUUUGUUCUUUGAAAUGCUUCAGGUAUUUACUAUUUUCAUCAUCAAUUCUAGUAAAUAGUUAAUUAAAUAUCUGGUUGUUUGAAUGUCCAGCACACAACAAGCACCCAUUCCAGCCCCCCGCGAUGAUUUUAUGCACAUGGAUGAUCCACUUGAUGAUGAAGCCCUAAGACCUACUCUUCCACAGCUUUCUCCAAAUUUGAACCCAUUUUCGCUCCUUGAUUCAACUUUUGGUCGAAAUUUUUUUGAUGAUGGACGAGCUACCGGUAUUCCGAGCAUUGCCCCACGAGUUUCACAUCCAAGGGAGGUGAGGGAGAUACCUAUUGAAGUUAAGGAUGGGAAUACGCAACCUGGUUCUUCUGGUCUAGGGCCUACCAUGGAGGAUGUUACUGGAAACAUACCUACACAUGAUCUGGAGGUUCAUGGGACUGUCAUUAUUGAUGAUGAUGAUGAAGAUGAGGACCUUCCAACUGCUCCUGCUGAUCAUAAUAACACUUCUAUUGGUGGUCCUCUCGGAAGGCAUCACAACCCAAGUGGUUCUCCAUUGGUUGAUGUGACUGACUAUAACAAUGACAUCGAAGAGGAAAUGCUACAAGCUGCAAUUGAAGCUUCCAAACGAGAAGUUGAGGGGCGCCCUAGUCAGGAGUUUGAUGUUCCUAAUGUAGGUCUUUUGUCUUAUACCUUUCCGUUCAUUUUCUUGCCAUUUGUCCGGACCUAAUCGUUUUUCAUGCAGGACUCGAAUGGUCCCAAGCUUGAUCAGAAGUCCCCUGCAUUGGAGGAUGCUGAGCUUGCACGUGCAGUCUCACUGUCCUUAAAGGUUUCUGUCAGAUAUUAUUCUUUUCUGUUGCAGGCUUGCUUAUUUUUUUUUCUUUUUUCAGCUGGUCCUAUUCUGAUUUCCCAUAUUACAGACUGCAGAGCAAGAAAGAGCAUUUCAGGGGCAGGGGGUGCAUACUGGAGAGAAUCAGUUUUCUAAUUCAGCUGUCAUGGAAGUGGAUGAUGUGGACAGAGUUACUGCAGCAGAAGGAAGGUGGAUAUUUUCUUAUUCUUUUUAUUGCAGUACUGAAGAAGAAAAUCAUUAUUUAAAGCUAGAAAUCUUCAUGUGCACCUUUCCUUCCUGUUUGAUAGUCCAAAACUUCUACUACUGGAUGACUAUGGCAACUUUGUUUCACUGUUGAUGAUUUCUGGCCACCAUCAGCACCUAGCUUUGGCUUGUGUGAUUCUGAGCACCUAGAUAAUUAGUGAUUGCAUGUUACAUGUAGGAUAAGUCGUCAUUUUACUAAAUAUCACUCAUGAAUUUCUGUCCAUUCAGAGCUUUACAGUCGGUUUUGUGGUUUUGCAUAUUCACAUUUAAAAGUGAUGUUUUGGUUUUGACAGGCUCAUAUGGACUCAUGAUUUAAUUUCUCUUCUGUGGGUUGUCUACAGGAUGGCAAUACUGUUUAGCAUCAUAUGCCUAGUUUCGACAUGAUUUGGACCAUUAUUUAAUAUGCUGACCUAUUGAUUGAUAUGAUAUCCUGUUGAUUCUUUUAGAUCUGAGGGAGAUAUCUAUUUCUCUACACAGUUAUUUUGAAUUUGCUUAGUAGUGUCACAUGCACUUGUUUUUGAACCUUUGCCAUUUACUUGACUUAGCCAAUCUCUCGUAUUAAUUUCAGAAGCAUGGGAAUGCUACUAUGCAUGGCCGUAAAAAUAUAUCAUGCUAUAGGAACAGUUCCAUAAAUUUUAAUUCAAUUAUGUUUAUGUUCUCCUACAGGAUCUUGUGCUUAGCCUGUAAUGCAAGGAAAUUUUAGAAAUAGAAAAGUAGUUUCAACUCCAAUUCAUAACAUGUGCCUAAGGUCAGUUCAUAAGAGUUAAGUAAAGUGCAAGAAUUAUAAAACACACCAUUUCCUCAUAUUAAUUUUUGUUUACAUAACAAUGAAAAAAAAAUUUCUUGAGAACUUUAAUAAUUCAUUAGUACAUAAACCGAUAGUUUAGUAUCUGAUGCGGUAAAAUCCUGAUUAUUAAUAUGCAAAAAAGUCAAAACCUUAUUAUGUUCAAUGAGAACAAUCAUCCGGUAAACUGAAACCUAAUCAUGAUAUUGACAUGCUAGAUUGAGGCGUUUUUUCUAUUGUCCUAGAUACGACAUUAGACUUCAUAUAGCUGGCAGAUCAUGUGCCCUGAAAUUCUGGUUCUUUUUCUUCUGAUAACUGAGCAUGAAAAGUGAUGCUUAGCUUUUUAAACAGUUUCUUCCUCAAAAUGCUUUCUUCUUGAUCUUUUCUUAUUGAGUUAAAAUAGACAGGUACAUCAACUAAAAAGUGGAGUGUAAUUAUGAAUUUACUUAAAUAAAAAGUCUUAUGGUAAUAAAUAUUAGAAAAUUCACUUGAUUUUCGGAUUAGUGAUUUAUCUAACUUAAAGAAUAAAGAUGAAAAAAAUCUCAUGGUAACAAAUGUUGGACAAUUUGCUUGAUUAUUAGAUCACAGACAUCCAUCAAGUAUUCCUUCUCUAGAAUCAUAGACAUUCAUCAAAUAAUAACUAUGAAAUUUGUGUGAAGUAACGUUAUAUUUAUUGAUGCAAUCAUGAUCAUCCAUGAAAUGUGCAUCACUGACCAAUCACGUUCAUUACAUAGGGAGAGUAAUUAUAACUUAUUGAGAAUUAUCUGUUAAGCAAAAACCUGAUUUGGUUCUGCAGAUAGAUUAUCCAUGUGAUAUGGCAAAAUUUUAUUCAGUAUACUGAUCAUGGUUGAUUUUCCCCGAUAUCUUGAAUUUUGAAAAAAUGAAUUAAAUACAUAUCUUCUUACUUAUCUCGGGGUUCAGUUAUAUCCGUCAGUCAGUGGAUUUUUUGCCUUUUGAAUCUAUUGAGUGGCUUAAGGGCAUAUUUUUGUUUUGAUAUAAAGAAAAAAAUUCCUUGCUUAGAAAUCUUGUUCAGAACCUUGACUGAAUUUGAUUUUAUUCUAGAUUUAGACUCUAGGUGAGUCUAUUUGACUUAUUUGGCAUUUUUGUUAUCGUAUCAUAGCAUUUCGACAUAAUGCAUAGGAAUACCCUUUAAAUUGAGUUGGUAGGAGCCGCUGAUAUGUGGGCCCAGUUAUUCAGAAGGCAGCACUAGCAUGAAACUAUUAGGUUGUGGACUUCGCUAUGAAACAAUGCUUAACACUGGAUAGUUCCAAAUGCUGGUGCAUGUAAAUAACAUUGUAGAAAUGAAGUUAUGAGCUAUGCAUAUGCGUAAUUCACAUUUUUUUUUAUUGGAUGGUAAACAUGUGUACCCUGUAGGUCAUUGUAAACAAAUUUCUAACUGUAAAUGACUGGUAUGUGUCUUUUCUGUUACUGGAGGCAAGGAUUUGGUUCUGCGAAGACUGGAUCUUCAAGUCAAUUAAAAUCAGAGGAAGGCAAUAUAUCUGUCCAAGAGGAAACUGAAGAUGUGGAGGAGCAGCCUCUAGUGAGGCACCGUUCCGGACGCAUUUCUUCGGGAAAUGCAGAAUUAGCAGAAUCUGGACGAUUGGGUUAUAGUCCUCCAUCAAGUCCUCGGCAGAACAAUGCUGGCAGUCGUCCUUCAUAUAAUGGAGAUGCCUUUCGGUCAGACGAGGUACCAUUUGCUAUCAUGAAAAGCUGCUUGUGUACUGAGUCCUGUAUGAAUAGGAUUAAUUCACCAUAUUUGUCCUUUUUUCAACUUAUUGUCCUGCCUUAUUUUGGACAAGUGGGGUGGCAUAUCUUCUGAAGAGCAUGAUGAAGCUGUCAUGCUUGAGGCUGCAAUGUUUGGUGGCAUUCCAGAAGUAGCAUCGUAUCAUUUUGCAUACCCAUCUCAUCAAGUCAUGCAAACUGGUUCAGAUCAAAGCUCAACUUUCUAUCCUCGUAUACCUCGUCCACCAUCGCCAACACUGAUGGCACAACGCUUGUUAAGGGAGCAACAGGUUGGACAUGUUAUAUUGUAGUAAUUGGUGGUAAACAGUGAUUUUCAUUUACGAGUAUGUAUUAUACCAAGAAUUUAUGAGUGGAUGAGUUUGAGGCCUCAAUGUCGUAGGGAAAAAAUACUAUAUUCUACCUCAUAGGGGAACUUUCAAAUCUGGUAUGUUUUUUUGACAUGUUGAUAACUUGCUUUAAUUCUGCAGGAUGACGAGUAUCUUGCAUCAUUGCAAGCAGAUCAAGAAAAAGAGUUAAAGGCCCAGCAGGAGGCUGAACUUCGGCGUUUGGAGGAGGCUGCUGCCAGAGAAGCUGCACUUGAAAAGCAAAAACAGGAAGAGGAAGAAAACUGCAGGAAACAACUUGAGGAAGAGGUAAUCUGCGGUCAGAAGUUCCUUGAUUGGUUCAUGAUCUUUUUCAUUUUCAGAAAAUCUUUCUUGGAAUUAAAAAGACUUAUUUUACACACUGCCAGAUGUAAAUGUGUAGUUCUUAUUUUUAAACAUUUCAAUUUUGGGUGAUUGAUUUCUUCAGGUGCCUUUGGAAUACAUUCUUCUGUUCUCUUUCAUUUGCAUAACUUCUUUUGAUUUUGAUGUGACUCAGAAUUUUGCACUGGCUGCUAACAUCAAUCAAACUAUCCUGAAGUAUCUUCAGUAUAUGUAAGAAGACUCAUAUAAAAUCAAGGAAGUUUGUUUUCGGAAACUGCUGCAGACAAUGUAUAAUAUCAAAUUGAGAAAGCAAAUAAUUAUUGGAAGAAUCUUGCAUGUUAAGUGAAAAUUUAAUUGUUUUUGCAGAUACGUUUUUUUUGGUUGUAUUCAUUUCAGUUGUUGAAAAAGAUUCUUUUUUUAAUAACUUAGAAACUGUAAGAUCUAACUGAAAUUCCCAGUCAAAAGCAAAUGUGACAGUACUGCAGCAACACGAUCUAUGUGAUAUUGUGCCUGAAUAUGCACAAGGAUUAUGGUAGGCAGCCCUGUAGAUUAUUGAAAAUUGUCAAUAGUUGUUUUCUUUUGUUCAUUUUUUUAAUGAGCAUAACUUAUAGGGUAGUUUGAGAUCUCUAUAUAUACCUGCUGUAGAGUUUCAGUCUGAUAUUUUGUUUCUAGUUGUAGAAACUAAUCAGAAACUUGUCUCUUUAAUUGUUUAGACAAAACAUAUACUGAUUUAUGUUUAUAGAAAUGUGCAAGUCUUUUUCUCCUUUUUCUAAUUCUUGGUUUCAUUAUAUUGUAGUUCUUUAAAUAAAGGAAAAGUAAGAAGGGAAGUGCUGCAGGAGCAUAGCUUGUAAAAUAAAUUUCUUGUUUUGAUUUAGAGUCUUAUUUCGUUGCUUAAAUUUGAAUGUCGUUUAAUGUGUUAGGUUAGAUAUCUUUUGGUAUGCUUUUGUGUAUUUGGAAAGUUGUAGCCUAGGAAGUUGUUUGCAUAUAUUAUGAAACUUGACUAGCAAGCUACAUAAGCACUAUAUAUAUAUUUUUAUGAAUGAAUGAGGAUCUUUGGGAGUUUUUGAAAAUUAAUCUCACUUGUUUCAAGUUUCAACCAUAUCUCUAGUUGCUCAUUAGUUUUAGGUUAUAGAUAAAUUUUCUUACUUGUUAACUUGCCUCUUAAGUGUUAUAGCGGUUUUAGUAUUGCUCAAGGUUUCGUUUACUGGGAUCUUAGUUAGACAUUUGACAUCAUGUUGAGAAGCAGUUGUAAAAUCUUGCUAAAACUUCAUGAUUCUCUCUUGAAAUAUAAAGUUGAAUCUCUAGAGAGAGAGAGAGAGAGGAAGNNNNNNNNNNNNNNNNNNNNUAAUAAAGUUAGUAAUACUCUAGAGAGAGAGAGAGAGAGAGGAAAUGUUGACUGAUUGAACCCACAAAGUUUGGAACUGAAAUUGUUCUGAUCUUUUUUUUUUAAAAUUCUCUCUGCGGUUUGCUUAAGAUUUUGCUUGAAAUUCUGCAUGAGCGAUGAUUUAUUGUUGAAAGGUGAAUUCUGAAGCCCAUGGUCGAAAAGAAAAAGUCAGAAUGCGAAAUAUAGGGAAUAGAGAUAGCUAGGAAAAGCGGGGUUUUUCGUUAAGUUUUUAUAAAGAAUGAACUCCUUUUGUAACAGUAACAGUAAACUGACACUCCAUAAAUAUUCAGAUCCUUGGCUUCUCUUAUGAUCAUGUUGCUGCAAGUUAGAAUGAGGUCACAUGAAACUAGACGACGAGGAAAAGAGGAGGGAGGUCAUAAGGUAGAUGGAUGGAGCUGCAACUUCCCUUUUUCUCUUUUUCUCAUAAAAAGCUGGGGCUCUGAAUGACUAUACAGGAGGGUUUUCCACUCGUUUUUGUUCUUUACUUCUCUCUCACCCCUCUCCUCUUCAUGCUCCUGACUUCUUUUUUUUGGUCUACAUCAAAACCUUCAUUCUAAUACCUUUUAGGUGCAAGUUGAGUUGGAGAGGCCAGAUGCUCUUUUUUUCUUCUUGACAGAGGGUAGACUAUAGUCACGACACUCUUCCAACUGCCUUCUUAGGAUGCGUAGGAUAAGCAUGCCUUAGAAUAUUAGUCCACCACUACAGAAAUGACCACGAAUGAGAUGUAAUAAGCACUUAACCUAAAGAAACCUAAGAACUCAAACCUAAUGCCCAAACAGAAACUUCAUAUAAAUAAACCCCUAGGACAGAAAACAUCUCCAGAAACUCAAAUAAGCAGCAAACUAACUGAAAGUAAAAAUGUUAAAUUAAAAUUGAUAACUCUAAGAUCCUCACUAAUACUAGGCUAUGUCAGAUACUUCUGCUUUGUUGUUCAAGUUUUAUUUUUGAGAUCUUUUCUUGACUCUAUCCUCGGCUUUACUGUUGAACUGGUACAGUCCUAGGGUCAAUUUGGAUAUGGGUCAUUCUCAUGAUGUAGCAACCAGAAGGCUGAUUUUGCAACCUUGGAAUGUGAAACAGCUUGAUCCAUUAUUAAGUAGGAAUGGACCUUGCAGGAGUUAACAUAUAGCUGAAAAUCUCCCUACACUUUGGGGCUGUUGUAGUUAACAAUAUGACAAUUAUCCACUUACUUUUCAUUAUUUUGAAGGCCUAGCAAUAUAUUUAUGCAAACUUCAUUAACAUGCACUUUCGGUCCUGCAGUAACUUAUAAAUUGAAUAAGUUCCAAACUUACUACAUCAGGUUCUUGUAUGCUGUAUACUACAACAUUUCUAAUAUAUAUGGAGCCCUGCUUUCCUUGGAAUAUUGUUUUUUCUGAAUUGUAUUUUUGACACUCAAAAUGGUCAAACCGUCUCAGCAAGAUGAUGCUUUCUGAUUUAAAAAUGUUACUUUUUUUAAAUCCGUUUUCUUAUAAAAUUUUUAUAGUUGUUUCUUCUAAAUGUGUGUUGAUUUACAGGAGCGUGAGAGGAAACUUGUUGCAAAAGAAGCUUUUCUUCCACAGGAACCUUCUCCAGAUGAUGAAAAUGCUGUCACACUUCUUGUCCGCAUGCCUGAUGGCAGCCGCCGUGGACGUCGCUUUCUGAAAUCCGACAAGCUUCAGGUAAAAAAAUCUUAUGAACUGGUCAUGAUUCAUAAACAUAAUAAUUCCUCUUAUCUCUCCCUCUCUCUCUCUUCCCGACUUGAUUGUCACUGCUGACUUUUGCUGCAGUUCCUUCUUGAUUAUAUAGACAUCGGAAGGGUGGUUAAGCCUGGCACCUACAGAUUGGUAAUUCUUCCGUCCACGGUCCAUCCAUUUGAUUUCUGCUAUUCUGGCAUAUUUCAAUACUUCAAUAUUUAACAGAAACCUUUCUGAUUGGGAAUAGCUUAUAUGCCUUUUAGAUUCUUGAUUGGAAUGUUCUGAUUUUGUUAUUCUUUCAAGGAAAGCAAUCCAAUUGAUAGCAGUAACUUGUUAAUCUGCAAUUUUAUUUAGGGUGUCAUUGGCAUAAAGAUACCUUGUGCUACCAUUUUAUCAUCAAAAUUAGUAAUUUUAGUCAUUCAAUAUUCAUUUACGUAAGCUCUGGUGCAAAAAUAUGAAAGGACCAUGAUGUAAGUAGUGCAGAAAUGUGUUCUAGGAGCUAGUCAUGUGAUGCCCCGUUUGUUAUUCUGAAAGUUAGUACUUCACUUGAUAAGUGUAUGGAGUCCCUUAUGGGGACAAGAUGAAAUGAUUUGAAAAUUAGCUGGUAUGGCUAUUAAGCAUAUUGCAAAAGUGCAGACUUAAAUCUGAUUACUGCAACAUUAUCAAGGCAACUACUGUCAGACAUAUGAUUAUAAGAAAUUCACCAAUAACUGUUUUUUGGCUGUUAUGGACUCGCCACUACUCUCAUCACACUGACUCUGAAAGUAACAAGUUCAAGUGUAAUCAGUUGAUGUGACCAAGUUGGAACCUAGUAUAGGAAGCAAGUUUGCUCAGAUGCAACGUGGAACAAGUUUGAGAAGUAGCCAAGAAUUUUGGGAUGAUGGUCUCAUCUUUUUCCCUAGGUUGUCACAAGCAGCCACCAUGGUGCCUAUGUCCUGCAUUAACUAAUAAAAGAGGUGCCACAUGGGUUUAUUAGCCUAGGCUGGUCCUCCUAAUAGCUUAAGCUUUUGGGAUGUGAGAGCCAGGCCCAUUGUAUGUCACUACCUUUAUUAGUCAUGUGGCUGCCCAGGGAUACUAGGAUCGAGGAGGAAUUGGUAGGGUCGAGUAGGACCCGAGCCAUGGGUGGGCCCCUUUCUCGUGAAGAGGAGCUAACCAGGAUGAGGGUGUCAUGAGAUUAUGUGGGGGAGAUUGUCAUAAAUCCACAUUGACUGAAAAAGGGAUGUCACAUGAGUUUAUUAGCAUGGGUUGGUCCUCUUUCUAACAGCUUAAGCUUUUGGUUUGCAAGUCUAUGACAUUAGGAAGUCCUACCUAGACCCUUGGAUAAUUCAACUGCCUAGGCCUUGUUCUUUCUAGCCCUUCAAGCAAGACAGCUGCCAAUUGUAGAUUGGUGCCCAGUGGGCAUCUUGUCGCAUGGGAACCCCCAUUCUCUCUGGCAUGUGUCUUGUUCCUUGAUUUUUUGAAGAUACUAAACUAAUUUUCUCUUUUAAGUGAAAAACAUAUUUGCUUGAAGAGACAGAAGUUGAAUAUAUUUAUAAUAUGUUCCCUUAGAUACUAAUUGAUGCUUGAACAUUUUCUAAGAAUCUUUAAAUACUUAAAUUCACUUAGUAGAAGAAUUAUUAAGUAAAAUUAAAGUAAUCAACUCAAAGAUUUCAUUAUUACCUGAGAAUUUGACAACUUUAUUGUUUAUCAAUAUGGUUUUCUUUGAUGUGCUUUUUAUGAAGUAUAUAUAACUAUAUAUGGAAACAUGCAAUUCCCACUUAGGUGCCUGCAUAGCCAUCUUGGCAUUCGACCUGAGCCUCUACAGGAGUCAACACCUAGGAUUGCCUGGGCAAUUCAACAACCUUGCUCCUUCCAACUUGACAUUUUUGAUGCAUUUUUUGAUGGGAGAUUUUUGAUGACUUGCUUAAAUUUUAAGGGCAGAAAGAAGAUUUAGGCACUAGAAUGAUGUAGAAGAUUGGAUAUCACAAUUUCUUGAUAUUUUGCGGGUAGAGCUUUUCAGGGUGCUCAGGAUCUGUCCUUCUCAAGAAUGGAGCAUGAUAUAAAACCAAAGGAACAAUUUUUAAAGUGUGGCGUGGAAGACCCUUUUUUUGUUAAAAAAAUGUGAGACAAAAUACUCAUUAUAUCGAGUAAGAUAUAUUUUACUAUAGUUUUCUUUGCAUACUGCCAUGAAAGACAGCUUUAUAUUUUCCUCUCAAAAUGUUCAAAGAUUCCUUUUCAGAAUGAAGUUUGAGGAUAUGCUUGAAUUUCUGGUGUUGUGAUGAGUGACACUGGUGUCAACAACCUCAUUGUUAAUGAAUUUGAUAAAGUUGAGAUGAGAUUUGGCAGCUGUAAAUUGAGAGAUUUAUCAAAAGCGGUUCUGUGUUUGACAUCAGGGAAAGAGGUUUUAUUUGUUGUUCCACAAAUCAGACAUAACAGUGGUUUUAGUUAUUAACCAUCACGAGUCUGUUUUUACUGCGGUUAGGAAUGUGGCUUCAAAGAUGACAAGGGGAGGCCACCAAUAUAUCAAGAGAGCUAACUUUUACCAAGUAUUAAUCAAAGAUUACAAAUUGAUUCAAGACUUAUUGAGAGCAUAUGAAAGGGAAAAGAGGAAUAUGUUGAUCAUCGUACAGAUUGGGUGGGAAUGUAGUUUUUUAGAACAAUAAGAGGUAUGAAAGUAAAUUCACUGGGUAGAGGGGAGUCAUUUAUAGUGCACUAAGAUUGAAAGGUUCAAGAUAGAAACCAUUUGACUAUGCCAGAGUUAUAAAUUUUGUUAAAGGAUGGAUUACUGCAUUUAGCUUUGCUAAAAUGAGCCAGUUCUCAAGUUGAAUGGUAAUGUAAAAUCUCUUUUGAUGGGAGUUAACAGGUAUCAUAAACUACGAAAAUAUUGCAUUGAAAAGGGUAAUAUAUUGGCAGAACAUGCAGGAACAUGAGAAUCGGCAGGGACCAUAAAGCAAAGAUGAUGGAGAUGGAAGAACUUGAGAAGAAAAGAUGAAAAUUAUCUAAAUUUUGAUAACGAGAGGUGGAUAUUUUGAUUUCUACAUGCAUACAUUAUUUUGGAUAAUGCUUCCAUAAGACCACUUGUAUUCUCUCAAGAAUAACCCUUCUAACAAUCAUAAAUCGAACUAAUUAUAAAAUGAGGAAGGUAAGUGUGAAAAGUAAAUCAAGGUUUGGAUGAUAAAGAUGCCUUUGAGGAGACCAAACUGAUAAUCACAACUAGGUAAAGCUUUUCUCAAGCAAUUGCCUUAGGCAAGAAGUGGAAAGUAAACCAAGGUUUGGUUGAUAAAGAUGCCUUAAGGAAUGCCAAACUGAAAUAAUCAUAACUAGGCAAAAGCUUUUCUCAGGCUAUUGCCCUAAAGGAUUCUCUCAGUGAUCAAGGGGCUACAUGAAACUUUGGGAGCACCCAAGCAUCAUGAAGAAUUGAUUAGGUACUUAGCUGCUAUGUAUGGCUAAACCAUUUUGAUCCUCCACAUUUUGUCUAGGACUGGAACUUGCCUUCGCUUGUGCAUUCUCUAACUGGUGGUUCUCAUGGUUAAAGAGUUAUUGCAGAGUACAUCUUUUUAUUAGUGCCUUGGAGAUGGUUGUGGUUCCUUUAUUGGACCUUACCUUGUUCUCUUCUCUUUUACACCAUCCGAGUCUUGGGAGAAACAUAAAAGGGUUUUCCCUUGGAUUCAUGUGUGCUGAUUGUAUAACCAACAGGCCAGGUCCGCACUUGUCUACUAGCCUUUUAGGUGUCAUGACUGCCCCUCAUGCCAAGUUACCUUGUUCCAAAAUCUGACAUCAAUCCAUAAUAAGUUGACCUUAGGUCGAGUGGGUUGUGAAUCCUUUCAAACUCUUUUGGACAAUAGCCCUAAGCUGCUUCUGACGCAGAGAUGGGACAAGGUUGGGGGUUGAGUUAUGCCACAGGUAUCCCAGAAGCAGGUCAUUGAGGAUAAGCAAUGACUUCGAAUAACAAUUGUCAGCGCAACUUCAUAUGAUGUCUUGAAGAACAGUCAGUAUUUUAUCUACUAUUUUAAUCAGUCAUUGUACAUGGCAGUUCUAGUAAACUGCUAGCCGUACAUCGUGUGAUGUCAUGCAGAUAUUUUCCCUUGACUUGGAUUUGUUUGGUUGUAGGUAACAGGUGCAGGAAGUAUUUCUUAUGCAAUUGCUUUGUUUGAAUUUGACAGGUGAGGCCAUAUCCACGGCGUGCAUUCACUGAGGGAGAAAGUGAGCUUUCACUUGGUCAACUGGGUCUGACUGGCAAGCAAGAAGCAUUAUUCUUAGAGUUAAUCUAGAAUUGUUAUCUGAUAAACAAAAGGUGUACUCAAUGGCAAGCAGAGGUAGCUAAACUUACCAUUUGAAAUUUGAAAUCAUUGUGGCAUUUGAUUGAAAUGCCCAAAAAGAAUCAAGAGAAGACACUCAAUGGAAGCUGUGGGGAUCAAAGGCUUGAACUCAGUGCUCACCAGAUGAUUUUCUCAUUGAUGAGAUCUCAAUGCUCUUCCAGUCUAGUUUUGUGUCUAUUUCUAUCGUCCAGAUAGCAACUCUGAUGUAUACAUGCAAAUAACUCAUACCCAAGCAGAUAACAUGACCCAUGUUGGCUACAUAAAAAAGGGUAAAAAAUAGAAAAGACAGACUUUAUUUUCUUUCCCUGUCACUUAAAGAACAUGGUGAUUCGGUUGUGGUUGUGGAUUUAUACUGUCAUUUAUUUUGAAAAUACAGGAGUCAGAAAAGUUGCAAUAGCUGCCAAGGUGGUCCGCUUUAAUGUCAGAUAUUAGGUAAUUCAAACUCUUUUUGAGGUUAAGCUUUAUAGGGAGAAAGGCAAUGGGUAGCUUGGCUGCAGGUCUGCAGGAGACUGAUUCAAUUAAGUCCAACAAUUAAAUUGGAUUCAAAUAUUUGAAUAUGUAGAGGGGUGGUCUUGGUUCUAGCUCAUACUACUAUAGAGAUGGAGAGUUUCUGAGCUAAUUUUGUAGUUUAUAACCUAGGUGCAGAUUAAUUAUUUAUUGAUGAUGUUUGGUAUUUGGAGAUACAGGUCAAGCUUUGGAAACCUCGGCCAGAUGGGAAUGGAAUUUUCUCUUUUCAUAGGGUGAAGGUGGCCUGGAAUUUUAUGGAUGACAAACUCCAACUUCGUUCGUAUAUAAUGAUGCACAGAGAAAUCAAAAUUAGAAUUGUUGGGGUUGAAAUUUGGCUUGAGGGUGAACACGCCGGAGGAAAUCGAGAAGACGCCGAUUGGGAUGGAGGAUCACCUCCUGCGCCCCGAGGUAUUUAUACAAAGUUUUGGCUGGGGAUUUCGGCAAAGGCCCUCCGAUGGCUAAGCUAGAGUUUAUCCAGCCUUUUUCUUGGAAAAAAAUUCCUAAGUGUUUUUGAUAUAGCUUAUUUAUAGCCCUCACAAGGGUGCUCGGGUGGCUGGGAUUUAUCCUCAUUAUGGGAGGGGAUGGUCCUUGGCAGGUGGCGUUUGGCUAAGGCCAGGGUUCGUUUGAGGCACACGGUUUGGGUAGUCCCUGCGCACGACAUGGUGUUCGCUGGUGUGGCAGUGUAUGACUCUUGGCAAGUGUGGUAGGGUAUAGCUCUUGAUAGCAAGCAUGGCUGAGGCAACAAGGUAUGGUCCUUGGUUAGCAUGUCAAGGCGUGGCCAGCACCGCGACAUAUGCUUGGCGAGGUCGGCUCGGCCUUCGGCGGGGGCUGAAGUCGGCCUGGCCUCUGGUCGAGGUCGGCUCAGCCUUCGGUGGGGUUCGAGGUCGGCCUGGCUUUCAACGGAACUGAGGCAUGGCCUGCUCAGCUCUGAGGUCUGCUCGGCAGAAAUUGGGUGGUUCUACGCUAGAGCAGGAUGAUUCAUUUUGCCUCCCUGUGUGGUGGGGGAUGCCACAAUGGCAAAAAGCCAUGUAGCACUAGCCUAUGGGCUCUUGCAAUAGUUCCUUUUUCUACCACUCGUGUCAGUUGAAUGUUUAUUGCUUGCUAUUCUACAGCUUAAAACUGGAGGUGAUGUGGAAAUAUCGGAUGCUUGGACUUCAGGCCAGAUUGACCCCCCUAGCUCGGACAUGAAUCAAGGUCAAUGCCUUUAGCUCCAACCAAGGAGUCACUAGCCGAGGAGAACCAUUAGCACACGUUGACCAGGGCUAACUGCCCGAACAAUCGACAGUCUUGGCAGUCUGCAAUCGUGGUAGCUCCACGCCCCACGUCAUACCUGCGCCACACUAUGCCGACGCAGAUUGACUCCUGCACUGUGCCCGUACCACCGGAUGUUGUCUGACAUCAUUGCAUGUUAUGUCGGCCCAGGUAACAAGGCUGGCUCCCCUAUGUAAAAGGGGCAAAUUGAGAGACUUGAGGUAUGCGUAGAAUAAGCAUUCAUUACCACUCACAUAGACCACCCUCUGUUGAGAUUUCUUCUUUCCAUACUGUUGCCUCGUUAUUCUGACUCAGGCAUCGGAGGGUUCUCUGCUGGAAACUCUUCAGCAAGUAGACUUUUUGUAAGCCACCUAUCAGAGGAGACAAGUGCUUGACACCUCAACCAGCCAGCUUAGCUCGCUUCUAGCCGACUUCAAGGUCGUCCGACCUAUACUCCCACCUCAGUCUGGACCAGUGCUCGACACCUCAAGCAACCUGCUUAGCUCACCUCCAAUCGACCUUAGGGUCGUUCGACCUACACUCUCACUUCAGUCCGAAUUCUGUGACAAUAGAUUGGCGCUAAAGGAAGAGCCUAGCACCCAGCUACAUCAACUUCAAUUGGAGGGAGAGACAAUUGGCAUGAGGUCACGAGGAGCCCACGACAUAUUGUGUGCUUUGCAACGCUGCGCCCCGACCUCUUGAGGGUCGUUGUAGAGCCCCGAACCCACUUCACCAGAACAGCUUGCCACUCCUGUAGACAAGGAGCAGUUCGACAAGCUCACUCAAUGGUGCAGGGGUUGAUUGCGGUGGUUCAGAGCCUGUAGCAAGCGGUAGUGUGAUCGGAGCUAGCCCGACUGGAAUCCGACCAGCCUAGCCCCCGCGCUCAAUAGGUGCAAAGCAUGCGCUUGGUCAGCCACUGUUCUCAGGAUCGGGAUCUCAAGCGGUUGCAUCAGAGUUGGCGCACUUAGUGGAGCGCCCCCGGCCAGAAUGGAAAACAAUGCACUCCAAGUCCUCAUUGUGGUAGGGAUUCUGUCUAGAGCCUCUCACCUGUUCGCCUUGUGGAGCCCCUGCCCCAGCAGGAAGCCGAUUCGAUAGGAGAAUCGAGGAAAUGGAUUAGCAAAUUUAGGCCCUCAAAGGACAAGCUUGGAUCCCCCCUUUUUUGGUAGAUCAUGGAGAAACCGAUCCCACCUCAGUUUAAGAUGCCACAAGUAGAGCCAUACGACGGUACCUCAGACCCCUUGGAUCAACUUGAGAGCUUCAAGAUUCUCAUGAUGCUGCAUGGAGCCAUCAACGCCACUCUUUGUAAGACAUUCCCUACGACCCUUCGCAAAGCGGCUCGCUUCUGGUUCUCUAGGCUUUGACCUGAAUCCAUCCACUCCUUCGGGCAUCUCGCUCGCCUCUUCAUGCACAUUUCAUCUUUAGCCGAAGACAAUGCUGCGGCUUUGAAACACUGCUUGACAUCAAACAGGGAGAGAGGGAAUCCCUCGGGGAAUAUGUCACUCGCUUCGACGCAGCGGCGUUGGAGGUCCACAAACUGGACUAGUCGGCAGCGAUGUCUUCAAUGAAGAGCGGCAUGUGGCUGUCGAGCUUCCUCUUCUUUCUGAAAAAGCGCUUCACCAACAACUUUGCUAAAAUGUUGGCGUAGACCAACAAAUAUGCCCAUACCGAGGAAGCCAUGGCCUCCCGCCACGAGUCUGCUGACGGGAGACCCCUUUGGGGAAGCAAGAGAGGAUGUGAGGAGCAAAGAGAGUAGAGGAGUAUCUCACCUUGGCGCGAGAGGGGGCCAUGACGACCCAAGAGCCCUCCUUUGAAGUUUGAGACGUAUACUUCUCUCACUAUCUCGAGGGUCCAGAUCUUCAUGGAGAUUGAGGGUCGAGGCUACCUACACCCUUCGCAUCCGAUGAAAGGCCCAGUGACCAAGAGGGGGCAGAAGAAGUACUGCUGCUUUCAUUAGGACUGCGGCCACGACAUCGAGGAGUGUUCUCAACUUAAGGACGAAAUCGAAGCACUCCUCCUGUGUGGGCGACUAGACCGGUACAUGCGUGCCCAGCGGGAUCAAGGAGUGCAUGCCCUGACCUUUGAUCCAUUGCCUCCAGAGCAAAUCGACAAUCGCUUGACGGCCGGAUCAUCAACACCAUCGCUGGCAGUGCCUCGGGCGAGCGAACCCCUCAAUAGGAAGACCACAGAACGGCCACAAGUCAUGCAUGUGGAUGGGGCAUUGAGUCUGGGGGGUAGUAGGGCUGGUCUCACGCUUACCAGCCCUAGCGGAGUAAUCAUGGAGUGCGCCCUCCAGUUUGAAUUCUCCACAUGAAGUAACAAAAUCGAGUACGAGGCGCUCUGUACCAGAUCUCGGAACUCGACAAUUGGAGGCCUUCGGUGUACAAGAUAGGGACCUCGACGGUGCCCCGAUCUUGCGGGCUUGGAGCUACGACAACCUUUGCGCCUGUCAUCAAUAAGGUUUAAUGUAGUCCAAACUCAUUGCCAAUAAAAAUUCUCUCGUUUCGUGUCUUUCAGAUCGGAUGAUCAUGAUGAGCGUAUUCUACUUGGGACACUCCAAGGAUGCUUGGGCUCCAAUAAAGGAGACGCUCCAGGGACGCCUGGGGUCUUCCUAAACUGAGUUCGCUCGGGAUGCCUCUACGAGUAUACUCCAGAGAUGAGAAGUUCGAGCCCACUCAAAUUUUCUCUGGGUAGCUAAUCCUAGAGAUGCCUCUAGGAGCAUACUUCGAAGAUGAGAAGAUUGAGCCUACUCAGAUUUUCUCCGGGUAGCUAACCAUAGAGAUGCCUCCGGGAGCAUAUACCAGAGAUAAGAAAAUCGAGCCCACUCAGAUUUUCUUUAGGUAGCUAACCUCAGAGAUGCCUCUAGGAGCAUACCCCAAAGAUAAGAAGAUCGAGCCCACUUGGAUUUUCUCUAGGUAGCCAACCCUAGAGAUACCUCCGAGAGCAUACUCCAUAGAUGAUAGGAUCGAGGCCACUCGGAUUUUCACUAGGUAGCCAACCUCAGAGAUGCCUCCAGAAGCAUACUCCGGAGAUGAGAAGGCCGAGCCCACUCAAAUUUUUCCUAGGAGCCAACUUCAGGGAUGCCUUGGGGAGUAUACUUUCGAGAUGAGAAGACCGGCUACCGGGCCGAAGGCUUGGCAUGCCAAUCGACUUCUUUAGGUCGAAAAUGGCUCGAGCAAGAGAAUCAGCGCCAUGCUGAAGGCUUGGAGUGCCAACUGACCUCUUUAGGUCGAGAAUGGCCUGACUAGGAGAACUGGCCGCCGCGUUGAAGGCUUGGCAUGCCAACCGACCUUUUCAAAUUGAGAACGGCUCAAGCAGGAGAACCAGCCACUGCGCCAAAGGCUUGGUGUGCCAACCGACCUCUUUAAGUCGAAAAUGCCCGAGCAAGAGAACCGGCCGCCGCGCCGAAGGCUUGGAAUGCCAAUAAUUGAGAAUGGCCCGAGUAGAACUGGCCACCGCGCUGAAAGCUUGGCAUGCCAACCGACCUCUUCAACGUCUUUAGGUCGAGAAUGGCCCGAGUAGGAGAAUUGCCACCGUGCUGAAGGCUCGACGUGCCAACCAACUUCUUUAGGUUGAGAAUGGCUCGAGUAGGAGAAUCGACUGCCGUGCCGAAAGCUCGAUAUGCCAACCGACCUCUUUAGGUCGAGAAUGAUCCGAGCAGGAUAACCGACCGCCGCACUGAAGGCUCGACAUGCCAACCGACCUCUUUGGGUUGGAAAUGGCCGAAGCCGAAGAUCGAGCCCAUGUGGAAUUUCUCGAGAGCUGGACUUUGAAAAAAUCAGCUGAAGAGCCCAAGACAAGCUAAAGCUCCACGAGCAGGAGGGUUCAAAUCGAGCAAGAAGUGCUACAGUGAAAAGCCGAGGCCUAGCGCAAACUCAAACAAAGAGCAAAUAACAACACAAUGCAAACUAGGUUCGGAGUCAGAUACUUUGGAAACUCUUUGUUUUUAAUAAAGUUGUGAAUUUUUAAUAAAGAAGAGUACAUUAAACUCGGUUCACUCGAGCGAAAAGAAAAAGCAAAAGCAACGAGGUAAAGAGCUUCAUUUCUCGCCUCCACUGCCCCGCCGUUGUCGAGGUACCUAGUUUCCUUCGGUUGAAAAGAUGCGGCUCUUCAUGGAGAGCCCCACCGGCUAGCCUGCUGUCUGGGGGGUCAGGUCCUCGGACACAAUCUGCGAUGUCAAGGCCAGGAUUCAGGAUAAGGAGGGCAUCUCUCUAGAUUAGCUCCAUUGCCCCUCCCCCUCGAUGGCUCUAUCGUUGCUACCACCGUCAUCGGCCUCAACGUCUUUGCGGACUUUGGGGUUGUUGCCUCUGUCGCCGCCUUCACCGACGUCGUCGUCGUUGUUGUCAAGGAUGGAGAAGUCCAUCUCUAGAAAAAGCCACUGAGCUUGAGCUCAGCAUGCCUUGAAUUCCUUUCCAAAGGCAUUAGCUGCAGUCUCCAAGCCUUCUCUUGGAACUUGUCCAAAGCACAAUAUUCUUCGAUCGCUUCCGCGACCCUCGCCUUGGCAUGAAGGGCCCGCUCGCUGGCCUCAGCAAGUCGUUGGUUCGCCUCAUUGGCUCACUGUUUAGCCUCUCGAGCCCUUUGCUCGGCAUGGGCUAGCUUCGCAGAAAGAUCUGCCGCUCUCUCAUCAGUGGCUUUGAGGGCCUUCCUAGCCGCAGACAGUUGGUUCUCCUUCACCUCUUUCUAGGUACGCGCGGCUGAGGCAUGGGCUUCCACCGACAUGGACUCAUCCUCGGCCAACUUGGCCUUUGCCUCGGCCACCAUGGUCUUCGCCUCAGCUAGCUUGGCCCGCUCUAUAGCCGCCUUGCAUUGCCCCUCGAGCGUCAAAAUACACUUUGAGAAAACCGAUUGGCUCACUUAACACCCCGGACGAAAGUCUCGCCCUCAAUUGAGGUAACUACUAGAUUUCCAUCUCCGAAACCGAAAUAUAGUUUGGCCUUAGAAGUAGAGGACAAGUGAUGGGAAAAAUAUGGGACACCUCGACCUCAGGCUAGACUACCCCUUGACCUCAGACAUAAACCGAGGUCAACGACUUUAGCUCCAAUCGAGGAGUAGCCAACCGAUGAGAACCAUCAGCAUGCAUCGACUAGGACUGACAACCUUAGCAUUCCACAUUCAUGGCAUCUCCUUGUCCUACGUUAGACCUGCGCUGCACUCUGCCCAUGCGAACUGACCCCUGCACCACGACCGUAUCACUAGUUGCUGGCUGGCAUCAUUGCAUGUCAUGUAGGCCUAGAUAAUAACAAGACUUGUUUCCAUCGAGGACUUGAGGUACACGGAUAAUAAGCACUCACUAUCAUUCACAGAGACCACCCUUUACUAAGAUCUUUUUCUUCGACACUGUUGUCUCGUUAUUCUGACUUAGGCAUCAAAGGGUCUUCUAUCGAAAACUUUUCGGCAAAUGGACUUCUUGCAGGCCACUUAGCGGAGGAGACUAGUGCCCGAUGCCUCAACCAGCCUGCUCAGCUUGUCUCCAACUAACCUUAGGAUCGUCUGUAACAACCCAGGACCUUACCCAAAAUGGCUAGCCAGAAGGUAUUANNNNNNNNNNNNNNNNNNNNNNNNNNNNNNNNNNNNNNNNNNNNNNNNNNNCACACCCGCACGGUCCUCACAUCGUCCGACCUGCACUCCCACCUUGGUCCAGAUUCUACGGUAACAACAGGCAUUUUUUAUAUUAGUUAGAUUACCAACCAAUAAGGUAUAUGGAAAUGGCUGGUAUUAUGAGAAUGGUUUGAAAGUAGUUGUAGUUUGUAACUAAGAAUAUGUUUGGCUUUGUUUUUAUUCUUAUUUCUUAUUAUUAAAAAUAAAAUCAGAUAACUUAGAUGCUAUUACUUUUAUUUUUCUUUUUUAAUAUUAUUUUAGAAAAAUAUUCUUACUUUCACUAUAUUCAAAAAUAAGAAAUUUUGUCACUACCACCGUCACUGUCAUCAUUGCCACCGCCAACCUCUUCACUGCCACCAUUGCACUAUUGCUGCUGUUGCUUUCAUCACCGUCAUUACCAUUGCGGCUACUUUUGCCCUCAUCAGUUCAAGGACCAUUAUCAUUGUUGCCAUUGUCUUCAUUAUAAUUACUGUUGUUGCCACCACCACUAUGCCACAACCAUUAAUGCUACCACCCCUUUCCGCUUUUACUAUACCCCCUACCACUUUUGCUAUACCACCAUCCCUCCCACCCGCACCCCUCCCCUCCCAACUACCACAAAACAAUGUUACCUUGCAUCACUGGCAACCUUGCCGCUGCCGUAUCAUAUUUGUAUUUUUAAAAAUAAUUGACUAAAACAAAUAUAUUUAUAUUUUUUAAAAUAUAGAAAUAAAAGAAAUAUAAAUUUUAUUUUUUAUUUUUAAAAAUAUGAAAAAUGAAAAUAAUGCAAAAUGGCACCUAAAUUUACUUGUUUUGUGACUUGCAUCUCUGUCAUAAGGAAUAGUCGAAUGAAAUCUCUGGGACUUGAACAAGCACAUUUGAACGCUAAUACUGCAUAUGAUCUACAAAAUCUGCUUACCUUAUGCCCCUUCAGAAACCGAUUUAAGGACAGACAACUUAGUCACCACUUUACAGGCCAAUUCGAAUUCAGUAUCUACGCUUAGCUAAAUGCUGUCAUCAAGUCUUGAUGCUCUCCAUUUUGAUCUCUCUGUUAGUAUCCAAAAAGAUGAGAGCCAGGAAGCUCAAUGAAGGUACCGUUAAAAAAUAAUAAUUCAGUGGACCAUGCACUUCUCGACAGCACUUCAAUUAUGAAUGCUUCUUUAAGUUAGCAGCUCCAUUUGAUUGUCCCUGUGUUGCGUUAGAGAUUGACCAAUUUUACAGCAAACAAAAGCUUCUCCCUUUGCAGCGGGCCGUCUUCAUGGUCCACAAUCCGAGUAUCCCACCUCAUGCCAUCUGUAAUGCUCUUGAUCCCGACCAGAAUAUCGACAUCAUCUCUAAAGAUCACCGUGCCUUCUGGCCUUAAGAUCCUAUCCAUCUCCAACAAAAUAUCCUCCAUCUCACAUCUGAAUGGCAGUUUGCAGCACGUUAGGAUCAAUCCAAACUAAAAUUUUAGCUUACAGCAUCCUUUAACUACCUGUCUUUGUAAAGGGUGAACACCAAGUCAGCAUGGAGGAGAUCAUAAGUCCUGGGAUAAGUAGACAUGGCUUCACACCUACAACCAAAGGAAACAUUUAUGAUUUAAAGAAUCACAGGAGGAAUCGCUUCAGCAACUCUCUCAAGUUGAGAACUCACCAAUCAUGAUACGUUCCAAUUAAUCCACGCUCAUAGAUGACUCCAAGGGUGUCAGCCGUCGCAAUGGUCGGAACCAUGUUCAUGACCCACACUGGGUCAUCAAUCAGCGCAGUAGCAAAUCCUCCAAGCCCUGAAUUCAUGUCGAGUAGAUUGCGAUACCGCCCUUUCUGCGUUAAUUCUGUACUUGCUUCCUUGUAGUACCUCACUCUCCUCUUCCACAGCUCAGUAUCCUUCAAGAACAUCUUGGGUGCAACACCAUUGAUGCUUCCACUACCGAUCCUUGGCGGCACUGCCAUCAGUCUCUUAGGCCAUUUCUUCAGUUCUCCUCCCGCUUUCUCUUGCAUUCCAGCCACCUCAGGCUGGGGAGUGAUGCAGGCUUCCAUUUUUGUGUACCUUAAAAGAAUUCAGUCAGAACUUACUAACAGUAGCUUUAGCAAGCUCAAGCCGAUAAAGUUUCGUAGCCACAAGUAUACCAUGCAGCAUCCGGGUCUUGAGCUGAGCAGAACCCCGGCAUCAGCGAGGCCUUUCGGGUAGCAUUGCAUUCGAUAUGGUUGGCGGGCUUCUGCCAUAUUGCGAUGUCUCCCUUCUCCUUCAGCUUCUUCCAGCAGAGGCUCCUUGCGAUGGCUUCGAUGGUGGAUUGCAAAGCCCUUAGAUCUUUCUGUUUCAUCUGCCAGCCUUUCCAGUGUUGCUUCCAAUUGAUUGGUGGCCCUGAAAGAAUCCAGUACCCCCCAGGCCGAAGGAUUCGGUCGAUCUCAAUUAGGUAGAGCCCGUCUGUAUCGAAGCAUGACAAGGAUUGUAAACAUCAGCAAUGAUGAUUCUUAGAGGCCAAAGGAGAUCAAAAGGUGGUGGAAGAGGGGAGUGAGAUAACGGUAAUACCAUAGAGGUGCCAUGGAAUGAGGCAGCGAGAGCAGUGGGCCAUGUCGAAGGCCCUCGAGGGGUAGGGGAGGCGAUCGGUGGCGAAGAUGCCAAGCAUCGCAGGGACGCCGCGCUCGAGGGCGAGCUGGACCUGAGCCUUGUGGCUGUCCCUCGGUGCAAAGGACAUGGUAAGGAUGCUCCGAGAUAGAAGGUAAGCUCCCCAGCUAGCUACCUUUACAACAUGACAAGGUAAGAAAUCUAUAACAUUCAAACGAAAAAAAUGAAACAUAGAAAAAGAAAGAAGAAAUUAAGAAGAAAAAGAAGAUUAGAAAUAUUGAUUUUUCCUUGGGUUUUUUCUUUCUCUCUCUCACUCCUUUUCCAUUGGAAGCCCAGCAGGAAGGAGGAGCCUUCAUUGCAUGCAUGUAAGUUGUUUUUGAACAGAUAUGUAUGCGAACUGUUCAUGGAUGGGCCCUCACAAAUUUGGUACUUAGAAAACAGGAUUUUCUGAUUAUGAAGCAUAUAUUUGUUCCUUGGAAAUAACUGCUAAAAUAACAGCUUUGAUCUGUCACCUUCUGUAAAACUUUAAGUAGCACAGCUAUCAGCACUUGCAUAUUUCCUGGCCAUGCUUUCUACUAGUCCACAAUGUUAGUAAAUCUAAAAAUGAUUAUUUUCCUAGCUCUAUGUAGUUUGUUUCCUCAAUUUUCUUUUGUUGCAUGCCAGCUAUGAGAGGAAUUCUCAUGCUACUAGGAUUGAACCUAUAAACUGGCAGCCAUUUUUAGUCCACAACAUGGAUCCACAACAAGUGAAAUUUGUUUGGACUGGAGUAGAAGGGUAGAAAUAGCUUCUUGGUUUUUUUGGUAAUUAGAAAUAGCUAAUUGUUUAUCAGGAUAACUUAUCAAUAAUGAUGAUAUACAACUAUGGUAUUACAAAUUUUCAGGGAACUUACCCCUCAGUUCUUUGUUGGGAUGUUAUUUGAAUGGUUAGCUGAUGCAAAAUUAGUAUUUUAUAUUUACUUCUAAUACAAAUUGCACACUUCACAUCUACAUAAUUAGGCAUAUUUUAUAUGUAAUUAUGUUUGUUCUACAAACAGAUAUUCCAGCUUUGUACAUGGAAGAGGAAUUAAACAUAAAAUGGCGUCAAAAUUCUACAAAGAAAAAAAAAUCAUCAAAAUUAAGGAUUAGAAAUAAAAAUUUCAGCCAAGAGGUAUUAAAGGUUAAAUGGCAGCCAAGUUGAAAGGAAGUUGAGCUAAUAUGUACACAUCAUACGGUUUCUUAUUAUCUUUUCCUUCUUCCAAAAGAAUUCUAGAAACUCAUCAAUCUUUACAAAUAAUGUUACGUAAUCAGGAUUAUCCUUUAAUUAUGGCAUGAUAAUGAUACUGAUAUGGGGGAUCAAACUGAUUCUCCAAAUCUUCAUCAACAUAGUAUCAAAGCCCACUGAUCUUUUUCUGCCUAACAAAACCUCCAUGCUCUUAUUUAUUAAUACGAGUAUCAUCCCUCGUUCCGGAUUUUGUCCCUUGGACACUACAAUUGAGAGAAGGUGUUGAGGAACACAAGUUCAGGGUUAUAUUUAUCCUCAAUUAUACUGAUUUUCUUUCUAUAAUCUCAAAAAUAUUAGGAAAACAAUUUCAUCUCUCCCAAAAUAUCCUUGAAACAUAUGUUUCUAUGUCAACCAUUAAGGAUAAAAUUAGUAUUUUUAUCCCUAAUAAAUCAUCCAUGGUCAUAUUUGAUGCCAAAAAAAAUUGGGUUUACCCCAUGAACGACAUUAUCAGAUAUAUGUGGGACAAAACUACCACGAAGAAGAAUAAGUAUAAGGAUAAAUAAGCAAAUAAAUUAAAGAACUAAACCCACCCCGCAUCCGGCGUCCAGCGCUGUCCUGAUGGACCCAUCACGAAGAGGAAUCAGCCGUUCGAUCUCCUUGAUAUAAGCGUCGGCUCCCCAAGGAAACGUCGUCCCGCCGCCGGGGAACCGAAAGCGGUCGCCUUCCACCCCGACCCAGUUUUGCUUCCCCUUGUCCACUACCAACUUCGGGUGCGGCACGUUCGCGAACCACGCCGCGUCCCGGCUUUCCGGCCACGGCAGCGGCCGUUGGUACCCCGCCGGCGGCGGCACCAGGCAUCGAAGGAGCUCGUUCUUCGCUGGGCAGUGCCGCUCCAUGUGGGCGUGCCGCUCGCGCGGGAAUUUCGACGAACGGCUGUGAUCGUGGCAUGGGGUGUAAUCGGUGUACAUGGCGUCGCAAACGGGAAAGUGGCGGCGGCCGGCGGCGGCGGCGGAGCCGUGGUGGGCGGUGAAGUCGACGGCGAUGACGGUAGAGGAGAUGGCGGUGGCGGUAGUGUUGGAGGAGGAGGAGGAGAGUUUGGUGCAUGGGGGGGAGGGGUGGAGGGAGUAGGAGAAGGGGGCGGCGCCGCCGCCGGAGGUGCGCUGCAAGGCGGCGAGGAGGUACGAGGCGGAGCAGAGUAAGGCGAUGAGGAGGAGGAGGGGGAGGAGGUUGGGAAUCUUCUUCUGUGGAUUGGAGAGAGGGGUGGUCGUGGUCGUGACGUUGAGCAUUGUUGUUAGAGAAGUGCUCGACUUUUUUCUUCUUUCUGUUUUGGAUGUUUGUGCGGCCCUGGAGGUUGGAAGUUUGACGCAAUGGAGGAGGGGAGAUGGGGAGGUGAAGGGACGAAGGAGAUAGGGAUUGGUAUAAGGGAGGAUUUUUCCUUGAUGGCAAAUGCAUCCAAGUAUAUUUAGACUGUCUUUAAUGCAGCUCAGUGAAUGGUGAUGCUUAAAGAAGCCAUACUCGAGUGCAUAUCACAUGAACAAGGUGGAAAAAAAAAGGGAAAAGCUAAAUUUUUAAAAGAAAAUUGAAAAACUAAAAAUAAAAGAGUAAAUCAAAAAUAGAAUGUGUAUGAAUAUUUAAAUAAUAUUACACAUCAAAACAAGAAAGAGAGAGAAGCAGUAGUGGAUAUUAACCAAAGUAGCAGGGAUUUUUAGUUGAUAAAUUCGUAUGGUAUUACUUUUCUUAUAGGGAAAAAAAGAACUACGGAUGAUAUCAUUACUCUAUAGUUUAGACCAUAGUACGCUAUACCGACUCAAACAGAAUAGUAUGAGAUAUGUUGUACUGUACCAAUUUGGAGCAUACCAGUUUAGCAAUGGUUUGGAAUCAAAUGCCCAGUCGACAUAUGGUGGAGAUCGGAUCAAUUGGUUAAAUGGCCAUGUCGAUUCGAACCACUCGAGGCUUUAUAUAAUGCUUGUGGUUGGUGCUUCAUCUUCAUCUUGAAGUUUCUACAACCAGUCGUCUGAAAAGUGGCUGAGGAUGAACCAGCAUUUCUCCUCAAAUCCUUUCUCUUCUUCAUUCUUGAUGUUUGUUUUUCUAUUUUCCUACUGAAAUUUCUUUGCUUUAAGCUUUCAGUAGGCCUCCUUGGUUCUUCGUUCCGGUUCCUUCUCCUUGUUCUGCUCCUUUUUUCUCUUUAUUCCUUUCCCUCUCUUCAAGAGCAGUAACUACCCGCCGUAAGAUUGAUUUUUAAUUUUUGGAACGAGAGGGUUUCUUUAUUGGAAGUAAACUAAAGCAGACGGGUUGGGAGUUCAUGUGCUCUCUAGAUGUUCCUAUGUACCCCAACCUAGUAAGAGAGCUCUAUGACAUAUAAAGUUUGGGGUUGGGAGUUUGGAGUCCACAGUCAAAGCUCACAUCUAGCUAGACAUAUCGAGUUUGGAAAGAAUUUUGCACAUGCUGAUUACUAGACCUUCAAAUGACUACUUUAAAGAGCGUCGGAUAGGACUACAACUCAUUUUGGAAAAAGAAGAAGUACAUGACAAGAAGAAGUCAGUGCAAGCCAACCUUCAGUGGAGAUGAGACUUCUUCAUUAUAUGAUCAGCAGGAUCUUCUUCCCUAAGAUGGGAAGAUUUAAUUUUGUCUUAGAGAGAGACAUUUUGGUGAUGUUUCAUGUGCUCAGGGUGAGUCUCCUGAAUAUGCUUUUACUCAUGUUCCACCAUAUACACCAGGCAACAAGUAGGUCGAAGGUAUUUCUACCUUAUAGCAUGAUUCUAACCUUGGUAUUCAAGGAAUAUGGUGUAGUGCUUGAUGGAGAAACCUCAAGGGCACUGCUGCACACCGGCAUCUACAAUGAUCGGUCCCUAUAUCGAAUGGGUUAUUCCAAGAUAGACGGUUAUUGGAUACGACGUGGUGGUGCUGGGAGACAUAAUAAGUUUACAGAGGCUAGACCGAGUGAGCCCAUAGCCCCUAUUGAUGAGCACAUUGAGCCACCUGCUCCUAUGGAGAUGCAUUCGGCUGAGGAGCAUAGAGAAGAGGACUUCAUGGUAUCUUUUAACUUUCAACCUCCACAUCCAAAGACUAGCUCAAGUCACACUAUCAGAAUGGCAAGUGCUCACCAGACUGAAGGCUGCUGGAUUUACUAGUCAAGGGAGACAACAAGCCCCUGAGCCACCACAUGGCACUCUUUCUACUGAUCAGAGGUUGGAGCCUCAUAUUUCUUUGUUGACCCAGAUGGUUGCUGAGUUGAGGCAUGACGUCUGUGACAUUCAGUUCCUGGUGACUAGCUAGUAUAAGAGGAUUGCAGAUAAUGAGGGAGAGACUAGACACUUGCAUGCAUUAGUAAGAAGAGAAAUUAGUGAAUUCAUUGCAAAUGUUUAGUAGAUCAGUGAGCAGAUUUUGGAAACACUCAAAGAAGUUCAAGA